rnacentral:lncRNA from 1 species
GGGCGAGGGGGUCGUCCCGAUGGCUGGGGAGAUGGAGAUUCCCGAGGCACAUGAGGAGCGGGUGGUCGGCAAGAGGCCAAGGGUGCCAUCACAGUACGUUCUUUCUCCCUUUACCGCGGAGGCGAAGAGGAGAAGGUUCGUCGACGGGACGCACCCGAAUUUAUUCAGGGAGGUGGACCACGCCAAGUGGAAAGCCUUUGAGACAGAGUGGAGAGCACUGCAGCCUGGGUCAGUUUUGUAUUUUAUGUAAUUACUAUAGUACGCAUACGCUGACGCUGACACAUGUAUACUUCAUAUAAUUAAAAAUUCUGUUCUUAUUUUUUCAGGGCCAGCCGCACGAUUGCUGAGAAGACGAUCUCAAAUGCUUACAAGUGGUUCCACGACAUCACCACUUCGGGGGCUUGGCUCGCCGACGAUGUAAGUGAAAUGAAAAUAUUGUUAUUUAUUAUGUACGUUCGAAAUCAAUUUUUUGAAUGAAAUUCGUAGAUUAACUCCUUUCUUUAUUGGUGUUUCUUUAUGUAGCACAUCGACUUGAGCAUGGAUUUGCUACGGGAUCGUGCUGAAAGACAUCCAAAAUCGUUCAACAUUCCUGGCAGACUCAUAUUGAACACCGAGUUCAUCCGUGCCGUUGACAUUGAGUACCGGUCGUUCCAGGCUAUGGGUAGCGAGUACACGGUGCCGGAAUAUAUGAUGGAAUGGGUCGUAGGGAUGUGGCCGAGUGUCAGUGGGAAGCCAUGGGAUGGUUGUACGCAUAUGUACGUACCAGUAUG